GUGAGGAGCCAUGAGAGACUGUGAGGGGCUGUAAGGAGACGUGAGGAGCUAUGAGGAUCUGUGCAGGGCUAUGAGGUCUGUGAUGGGCCAUGAGUGCUGUGAGGGGCUAUGAGGGGCUGUGAGGGCUAUGAGGGGCUAUGAGGAGCUGUGAGGGUCCAUGAGGGCCAUGAGGAGCCAUGAGGGGCUGUGAGGGGCUGUGAGGAGCCAUCAGGAGCUGUGAGGAGCUGUGAGUGCUGUGAGGGGUUGUGAGGAGACAUGAGAGCUCUGAGGGCUGUGAUGGGUCAUGAGGGGCCAUGAGCUGUGAAGGGUUGUGAGGGGUCAUGAGGAGAUUUGAGUGGCUAUAAGGGGCUCUGAGGGGCCAUGAAGGGCUAUUAGGGACCUUGAGGGGGAAAAAGGUCCCUGAGGAGCUGUGGGAGGCGAGGCACCGCAUGGAACCACGGGUCAGUUAUAAAACUGCAGAACCAAGGAGACUGCUGUUGAGCAUUAUGAAAGCUCAUGGAACCAAAAGUCCAUUGUGACAUUGAGGGACCUCAUGGGAUCAUGGAGAACAUUACAAUAGUUUGUGACCCUUUGGAACCAAGGGGCCAUGUGACAGUGCAGGGCUCCAUGGAACUAAGAACUCAUGUAACAGUGAGGAGCCCAAUGGAAUCAAGGCGCCAUUCCAUAUUUCAGGGCCUCAUGGAAGCACGGUGCCCUUGUGACACUGCAGGACCUCAUAGAAUCCUGGAGACCAUUCUGACACUUUGAGGCCGUGUUGAAUCAAGGGGCUUUGCAGGGCUUUGUGGAACCAAGGAGCUCUCUGUGACACUGCAGGGCCUCGUGGAAGCAAUGAGACCAUUCUGGCAUUCUAGGUUCCCAUGGCACCAAGGGGCCAUUGUGACACCAAUGGGUCCCCAAGGAAGCAAGGGGCCAGUGUGCCACAGCCAAGCCUUGUGGAACCAAGGGGCCAUUGUGAUCCUGGGGAGCCCAAUAGAACCAAGGGACCAUUGUGGCACUCUGCACAGUCCCAUGGAACCAAGGAAAACCAUUUUGACACUGCAAGGCCUCAUGGAAGCAAGGGGCCAUUGUGGCACUGCAGAGCCAAGGAGACCAUUGUGAUAUCACUGGGCCUCAUGGAAACAAAGAUCUCGUGUGAUACCACGGGGCCUUGUGGAACCAAAGGGCAAUUGUGAUGUUGCAGGGCCCCAAGGAUCCAAGAACAUGGAACAGGUCUGGUUGGCUGGGCCUGACUGGUGCAGCUGAGAUGGCAUGUUGAGGGUUGCUUCUCAUCUUCCCCUAAAACUCUGGAGUUCUGUGCUUUCCUUCCAGUGGGAAAGAACUCUCCCUCUCCUCCAGGGGUUCAUGGCUGAAAUUGGGAUUCUACUUCUAUAUCUGAUUAUAUCUGAAGACUGUUCCCAUAGGAAACCUGCCAGCAAAGACAGCUCUGGAUGGCCUUGGCAUCUUGGGGGCCACCUCUUACCUGCCUUCAAAACACUGGAGGGAUGUGUUUUUCUUUCCAUUGUAAAAAGCAUCUUUGAAGUCCAGGUGUCUAUGGCCACAAUUGGGAAUCUGCCUCCAAAAUUCCUUAUAUCCAAGGAUAGCUCCCAGACAAAAUCUGCCAGGACUGUCCAGCUUCCUUUGGCUUCCUGAGGGCCAGCUCUCAUCUGCCUGUGAAACACUGGGGGUCUGCCCCUGCAGCCACCACCUGCACACGCCCAUGUUCUUCUUCCUGCUCAACCUGGCCCUCAGUGACCUGGGCUCCAUGUGCACCACUGUCCCCAAAGCCAUGCACAAUUCCCUCAGGGACACCAGCACCAUCUCCUACAAAGGAUGUGCUGUACAGCUCUUUCUGUUUAUCUUCUUCAUUGGAGCAGAGUAUUUCCUCCUGACCAUCAUGUGCUUUGACCGCUACGUGUCCAUCUGCAAACCCCUGCACUACGGGACCCUCCUGGGCAGCAGAGCUUGUGCCCACAUGGCAGCAGCUGCCUGGGCCAGUGCCUUUCUCACUGCUCUGCUGCACACGGCCAAUACAUUUUCCCUGCCCCUGUGCCAGGGCAAUGCCUUCGGCCAGUUCUUCUGGGAAAUCCCACACAUCCUCAAGUUCUCCUGCUCCAAAUCCUACCUCAGAGAACUUGGGCUUAUCAUGAUUAGUGUCUUUUUAGCCUCUGCAUGCUUUGUGUUCAUUGUUUUCUCCUACGUGCAGAUCUUCAGAGCUGUGCUGAGGAUCCCCUCUGAACAGGGACAGCACAAAGCCUUUUCCACCUGCCUUCCUCACCUGGCCAUGCUCACCCUCUUCCUCAGCACUGCAGCCUUUGCCUACCUGAAUCCUCCUCCAUGUCCUCCCCAUCCCUGGAUCUGGGGGUGUCAGUUCUGUACUCAGUGGUGCCUCCAGCCCUGAACCCCCUCAUCUACAGCCUGAGGAACCAGGAGCUCAAGGCUGCAGUGUUGAGAGUGAUGAGUGGAGGUUUCAGAAACACUGAACUGCUGGCCAGUUUCUGCAAAUCUAUUGUAAUAGAAGUAAUUUUAGAUACUGCCUUGUUAGUUUCAUUUUGGAUGCCCUAUUUCUUUGUUUUCCUUCUUAAUAUUGUCCACAAAGAAAUGCCGUUGUUUGUGCCAUUGCUCAUUUUGUUUCUCUCCACCUUCCCUGUGGCCACAGACUGCGUCAAUGAGGGGCUGCACUUUCAGUGGUUUUAAAUGAAAGAAAGUAUUUCCCACCAGAGAUCCUCCUUUUGUUGCCUUCUCUGGAGCUGCAGCAGCAAUGUCUGUGUGCAGAGCUGGGGCAGAUCAGUGCUGGCACAGCAGCUGUGCCCAGGAGCAGCAGCAGCACUUGGUGUUGCCAGUGCUGCUCUCGUGCCCCUGCCCUCUCAGGAUCUCCUCUGGUCAAGGGUGCUACCAUCACCAAGAAGAUGGAGGCUAGGAAGAAGAAGGAAGAAGAACAGGAGAACGCCCAAAUCCCUCCAUCUUGUCCCCUGGACCCCCAUAGUAAAAUUCUUCCAAAUUC